GAAUAUUGUGUAUAUCUAUAUAUCAUGCCUCUAUAAUCUCUAUCCUGAGAAGUUCUUAAGAGGGUCAUCUCCUAACAACAAGAGUAGAGAGAGAGAGUAAAGUAGAUCCGCUUUUGGCUCCGGCGGAUGGUCGGCGCGUGAGCGCGCGUGCCGUCGCCGGAGACCGUCGUCCUUCCGUUUAAGUUGUCCCUUUGGCUUCUCCAUCGUCUCUUCUCUUAGAUCGUUUUGUCUGAGCCCUGGUCCAGGCCAUUUUUCGCCGAUCAUCUCCGGGAGAUACCGAUCUCAACGGUGGCUCUGUUUCUGGUGUUAAGGCGCGGUCGUGUGGAGAGGAUGGUGUGGUGAAGUCGUCUGGUAGUUUCAGUUUCGUCUCCGGGAGACAGAGGCUCAUUAAGCUCUGUCGCCGCCGGCUCUUGCUUCCGGGAGGAGGAGGCUUCCUCAGCUCCUCUUUCGCCGGCUUUGUUUCCGGGGUGCCAAGGCUUUUAUAGCUCGGCGUCGCCGGCUCUUGGUGUUUUAUGACCGUCGUAGUCUAGGGUUUGUGGUCCGAUUUUGGGUCGGGUUUGGUUCUGAGGUUAUGUGAUUCAUGGCUUUGAUCUUUUGGAGGAGCUCUUGAAUAGAUCGAGAAGGCGAUCCAUGUGAAGAUAAAGCGGGGAUUAAAAGAGGUGAAUCGGGUGGUUUCUUGCAUGUCGCUCUAGAGCUGAAGCGCUUGAAGCGCUGGCCUUGUCGGAUGAGCUCUCGAAGAGCGAUGAUGCUCUCCGACGGGUAGAUAGAGUUGAAAGAACAGUGAUGAUUUCGGCGGAGGCUUGUCAGGUUCUGAGCUCCGACGGAAGGAAGGGGUGGUGAUGCGGUUCCGGUUAGUUUGGUCUCCGUAUGACCGGGUGUUUGGUUGGGCCGUCGGCCCGUUUAAGGAGUCUUGUAGUAUUCUGGCUUGUGGGCUAUCGGCCUUCUUUUAUGUAUUUGGGCCUUUCGGCUUUUCUUUGGGUUUGACCCGUCUUUUAAUAAAAAUCAUCCAGUGG
rnacentral:lncRNA from 1 species